UUCACUUCUUGCAAGGAAAACUUUUAUUAAUAUCAUGUUGGAGGGGCUUUGAAGUCAGCCAAAAGAUGGUUUUUAGAUUGGCUGCGAGGAGGAACAACCCAGGAAGAGGCUUCAAGGAGUAACUUCCUAGGAAGAGGCAGCCUCCGUGGUGCUGCUGGCUUCAGUGGUGCUGCUGCUGCCUGUUUCUGUGGUGCUUCCUGCUUCAGUGCUGCUGCUUGCCUCAGUCGUUGUGCUGUUGCCAUUGCAUGGUAGACCCCAUUGUGGUCGUCGUCCUCCGCCCUGCUGGGCUGGACCCUGCGGUCUGCCUUGUGGUCUGCCCAAUGCCUGUCCCUGUCCCUGUCCUCUCUGGUGACGCCUGCCCUGAGCAGCUGCCACAGCAACCAACGCAAAGAGCACAAUCAAGAUGUAGAAACGCAUAUUUCAGUGUUGUUUUCUGUGUUGUUUUCAAGUUCAAAGUGUAAGUG
rnacentral:lncRNA from 1 species